CUAUGCGCCUUGCCAGCCCGCUCAGGUGUGCCAGCCGCCGCGGUAAUACGGAGGAUGCGAGCGUUAUCCGGAUUUAUUGGGUUUAAAGGGUGCGUAGGCGGGAUGCCAAGUCAGCGGUAAAAAUGCGGUGCUCAACGCCGUCGAGCCGUUGAAACUGGCGUUCUUGAGUGGGCGAGAAGUAUGCGGAAUGCGUGGUGUAGCGGUGAAAUGCAUAGAUAUCACGCAGAACUCCGAUUGCGAAGGCAGCUUACUAAACUAUAACUGACACUGAAGCACGAAAGCGUGGGGAUCAAACAGG
rnacentral:rRNA from 1 species